UCGAUGAAGAACGCAGCGAAAUGCGAUACGUAGUGUGAAUUGCAGAAUUCCGCGAAUCAUCGAGUCUUUGAACGCAAGUUGCGCCCGAGGCUUGUCCAAGGGCAUUUCCGCUAGAGCGUCACCGCGCCCCCCACCGAUCCACUCCCCCCGUGGGAGUUCGAGUGGACUUGGCCGUCCCGGCGGCCUGCGAAGGCGGGCUUAAGGGUCGGCUGAAAUGGAUGGAAUUGGGCCGCCGUGGUGACACAGUCCGCGAUCGGGUGAUCCGAGCUCCUCCGUGAGCCCGGAAUUUUUCUAAGUGCGUGGCUGCGUCCCCCAGUUGGCUUUGGUUACCUCAUGCAGGUCGAGCGCGCCCCCGCGGCGCGCGUCACGCAUCAGACCUCUAAUCGGAAAAGACUACCCGCUGAGUUUAAGCAUAUCAAUAAGCGGAGGA
rnacentral:rRNA from 1 species